rnacentral:rRNA from 1 species
GUGCCAAGCAGCCGCGGUAAUUCCAGCUCCAAUAGCGUAUAUUUAAGUUGUUGCAGUUAAAAAGCUCGUAGUUGGAUUUUGGGUGCGGCAGGCCGGUCCGCCGUUUCGGUGUGCACUGGCAGGCGGCAUCUUUCUGUCGAGGACGGACUCCUGGGCUUCACUGUCCGGGACCCGGAGUCGGCGCAGUUACUUUGAAAAAAUUAGAGUGUUCAAAGCGGGCCUACGCUUGAAUAUAUUAGCAUGGAAUAACACUAUAGGACUCCUGUCCUAUUCUGUUGGUCUUCGGGAUGGGAGUAAUGAUUAAGAGGAACAGUUGGGGGCAUUCGUAUUUCAUUGUCAGAGGUGAAAUUCUUGGAUUUAUGAAAGACGAACUUCUGCGAAAGCAUUUGCCAAGGAUGUUUUCAUUAAUCAAGAACGAAAGUUGGGGGCUCGAAGAUGAUUAGAUACCAUCCUAGUCUCAACCAUAAACGAUGCCGACUAGGGAUUGGCGGAUGUUCCUUUGAUGACUUCGCCAGCACCUUAUGAGAAAUCAAAGUCUUUGGGUUCCGGGGGGAGUAUGGUCGCAAGGCUGAAACUUAAAGGAAUUGACGGAAGGGCACCACCAGGAGUGGAGCCUGCGGCUUAAUUUGACUCAACACGGGGAAACUUACCAGGUCCAGACAUAGUAAGGAUUGACAGAUUGAGAGCUCUUUCUUGAUUCUAGGGGUGGUGGUGCAUGGCCGUUCUUAGUUGGUGGAGUGAUUUGUCUGGCUAAUCCCGUUAACGAACGAGACCUCAGCCUGCUAACUAGUCACGGCCUUUCUGAAAGGCCGGCGGACUUCUUAGAGGGACUAUUGGCGAUUAGCCAAUGGAAGUUUGAGGCAAUAACAGGUCUGUGAU